rnacentral:rRNA from 1 species
UACAGAGGUCUCGAGCGUUAGGCGGAAUCACUGGGCUUAAAGCGUGUGUAGGUGGAUGCCUAAGUACCUUGUGAAAGUCGGGGGCUCAACCCUCGGAUGCCGAUCGAUACUGUCGGGCUAGAGUCCGGAAGAGGCGAGUGGAAUUCCUGGUGUAGCGGUGAAAUGCGCAGAUAUCAGGAGGAACACCAAUGGCGAAGGCAGCUCGCUGGGACGGUACUGACGCUGAGGCGCGAAAGCGUGGGGAGCAAACAGG